CCUAGGGGCGCUCCAGUGAGGAAUAUUGCACAAUGGGGGGAACCCUGAUGCAGCGACGCCGCGUGGAGGAUGACGCAUUUCGGUGUGUAAACUCCUUUUAUAUGUCAAGAAAAUGACGGUAGCAUAUGAAUAAGCACCGGCUAACUCCGUGCCAGCAGCCGCGGUAAUACGGAGGGUGCAAGCGUUACUCGGAAUCACUGGGCGUAAAGGACGCGUAGGCGGGUUGGAAAGUCAGGUGUGAAAUCCUACAGCUUAACUGUAGAACUGCACUUGAAACUUCUAAUCUAGAGUAUGGGAGGGGGAGAUGGAAUUAGUGGUGUAGGGGUAAGAUCCGUAGAUAUCACUAGGAAUACCUAAAGCGAAGGCGAUCUCCUGGAACAUUACUGACGCUAAGGCGUGAAAGCGUGGGGAGCAAACAGGAUUAGAUACCCGUGUAGUC
rnacentral:rRNA from 1 species